GAUCUAUGCAACCUCAGUGUCAUUAUAUUGGGAGUGUAACUUGUUUUCCAUUCCCUAACAAGUAAUCCCAAGAUCAGUGUGUGUUUUUCUCAUAUUUUGCAGGAAAAACUACUUUUUGUUGUUUAUUUUUUUCCUAGAAGACUCUAUUUCAAAGUACAAUCAGUAGCCAAGCACUAGGGUCUAUAUACAUCCUAAGGAUUUGGACCUCAAUAUUUUUGGUAGGACUGUGGAUGAAAACGAAGGCGUAACUAUAGACCUACAGGCAGAGUUACCCUAUGCAUCUUCUUGAAUCUCUCAUUUUCCUGAACAAGUGCAAUGAUGAGAGAUCUUGUUGGACACAGAAGAGAAGAGAGACAAUAUUUGUCUGGAGCAGCUCUUGCCAGAUGAGAAAUCCCUCAGUGUGCACACAGUUGUUUGACCACCUCGCACAAACUGGCAAUGCCCUGAAACUGCAUCUUCUCUUCAGCCCUGAGAACCCAGUGAGGCUGGCCUUUCUGUCCCGAGUUUUCAAGAACAUUGGACAUGAUGGAGAAACAAGGUGGCACAAUAUCAAGAUUUGUGUUGAUACCUCAGUGCUACAUAUCACUUUCCAUCUUUGCACUCCUGUGCUGCAGGAGGAACAGACCCUGGGGGAGGACGAGCCGCAGUAUCCCGGCUGUUAGGUCACUCUUCCGGAGAUCAAGGAUCAAAAGUCUUUUUAUCCUUGAAAACCAGAUUUGAACCUGGGUCUAUACUGUCUAGAAUGUCUCUCCUUCAUAUGCAUAGGGAAGAAUACAGCUCAUGAAAACAUUCUGCAGCUUUGACAAAUGCUCACUUACAGAUGUUUUUUUUUUUUUUUGCCAAAAAAAUUCACACGCCAUUUUUUCCCCUGGCUCUGCCACUUCCUUUAUUUUUCUCUGCUUUCAUCCCCAAACCUCCUACCCCUUUUCUGUCUUGUCUAUUGUGAUUCAGUCCAUGCCCUGAAUGAUUUCUGUCUUGCUAUAUGCUUGUACAGUGUCUAUCACAACGGGUUUCAAUCUGUUAGCACCUAGAGGCAUUAACAUAAUGCAGGUAAUAAGGUCUAAAUUUAACUUGCUCACAACUACUUUUACCCACACUAAUAUGCAUCAUGCUCUUCAACUGUCAGACUUGAAUCGCAUAUAAUAGCUGCCUGGCUACCGUACACAGAUGAAGAAGCUGGUAGAAAGCAUUUACCUCAAUAAAAAGAAUAUUUUUCCCUU
rnacentral:lncRNA from 7 species